rnacentral:misc_RNA from 1 species
GGGAACUGAUCUAAACUUCUCCAACUUAGCACAACGAAAACGCAGCCCACCCGUUCCUUCAAAACCUAUGACAGUGGCUAUCAACGGCGAGUAACCCUGCUAAACUCUCAUGGGAAAAUCGAAAAUUUAGUUCAAUUUUUUUUUUUUUCAUGAUUUUCUGUGUAAGCAUCGACUGAAAAUUCAUUCACUGUAUUUAGAAUAAGCAGAAAAGAAGUGAGAAUGACUGGUGGCGGCUUAAAGGGUAUUUUGGCUGCCGCUGUUACCCAAGGGGUGGCUGAGGCAAGGGCAAGGAUAUUUGGGCAUGUGCUUAACCCUGCAGGGCACAGAUCCCCCCACAAAAUUUUGCGCAAGAAGCUCAUUGGUGAGAAGGUCGCGCAAUGGUACCCUCAUGAUAUCAAGAGGGAUGACCCACUUAUUAUGGCCCGCCAAGAGCAAGAGCGUUUAUCCAAGCUUGAAAUGUUGAAGAGACGUGGAAAAGGGCCACCCAAGAAGGGCCAAGGAAAGGGAGCCAUGAAGCGAAACAAAGGGAAAUGAUGUUUUCAUAUUCUCUUUUUCAUAUCAGUCCUUGGGUAGUUUUGGCAAUAAGUUAGUAGUAUCUGGCAUUUUCAGCAACAACUUUGGAACUGAUACGGCCGUAUGAUGUUUCUUUUCCUUUUAGUAGUUUUAUUAAAUGAAUGAGCAUCUAUUGUCGACUAUGUACUCCUAAUCUCCUGCACUAUGAACCAGUCACUCAGGCAGGUACUCAACCUCUAACUAGACUUGACAGAGUAAAUUUUAACUCAUACUUGCCUGCAUAUAAGUUUCCAUUUUUUCAGUUGGCAUUCCAAUGUCUGUGGAGUUUGAUUAUGGAAAACUGAUUACAAUGUCAGGCAAAUUGCAAAGCCUUGGAGACAACAUAGCUGGAGCAUUACCAUCUUUGUCUACAAUACAUGUAGACACAUGUAACUAA